rnacentral:rRNA from 1 species
AGGGUUUGAUCAUGGCUCAGGAUGAACGCUAGCGGCAGGCUUAACACAUGCAAGUCGAGGGGUAACAGGAUUUAGUUUACUAGAUUGCUGACGACCGGCGCACGGGUGAGUAACGCGUAUACAAUUUGCCUUUUACUGGAGGAUAGCCAAGAGAAAUUUUGAUUAAUACUCCAUAGUAUUAUUUGACCACCUGGUCGAGUAAUUAAAGCUCCGGCGGUAAAAGAUGAGUAUGCGUUCUAUUAGCUAGAUGGUAAGGUAACGGCUUACCAUGGCGACGAUAGAUAGGGGUCCUGAGAGGGAGAUCCCCCACACUGGUACUGAGACACGGACCAGACUCCUACGGGAGGCAGCAGUGAGGAAUAUUGGGCAAUGGAGGCAACUCUGACCCAGCCAUGCCGCGUGCAGGAAGACGGCCCUAUGGGUUGUAAACUGCUUUAUACAGGAAGAAACUUAUCCACGUGUGGAUAACUGACGGUACUGUAAGAAUAAGGACCGGCUAACUCCGUGCCAGCAGCCGCGGUAAUACGGAGGGUCCAAGCGUUAUCCGGAAUCAUUGGGUUUAAAGGGUCCGUAGGCGGGCAAUUAAGUCAGAGGUGAAAUCCCACAGCUCAACUGUGGAACUGCCUUUGAUACUGGUUGUCUUGAGUUAUAGUGAAGUAGAUAGAAUAUGUAGUGUAGCGGUGAAAUGCAUAGAUAUUACAUAGAAUACCGAUUGCGAAGGCAGUCUACUAACUGUACACUGACGCUAAUGGACGAAAGCGUGGGGAACGAACAGGAUUAGAUACCCUGCUAGUCCACGCCGUAAACGAUGGUCACUAGUUGUUGGGGUCUUGUACCUCAGUGAUUAAGAGAAAUUGAUAAGUGACCCACCUGGGGAGUACGAUCGCAAGAUUGAAACUCAAAGGAAUUGACGGGGGCUCGCAC